rnacentral:lncRNA from 1 species
CACACACACACACACACAAGCCCAAGUUUUAAAUUUUAAUGCACAAACUAGCAAACCAUGUUAGAAUAAAUUGCAAACAUACCCCUACAAUUACUUGGCUCAUGUAUCCUCUUAAGUAAACCAAAAAUGUAAUGUAAAGCAAAUGCAAUCACUCGAGUAAGAUGCUGUUAAAAUUUACAAAUCAUGAAACAAAAAAAUUAUGGCUUUUGCCACAAGUACUCGCACUAUGUAGUACAAGGAUGAUAUAAAAAAAAUCAUGAUAUCAACAAGAAUAAGUCCUACUGCAUCACCAAUUGAUCAUCUGCAGAUUGCUAAUUCUUGUUCACUCUUGAGAAAUCUUCUAGCUAUCAGGACCUGCUUUGUGGUUACAAAAGAUGGAGAUAUUAAUGACAACAAUAGGCCCAAAUGCAUGAUCUUUAAGCAAGUGAAAUUUUGGCCAACAAAAAAACACAAUAUUGAACUACCGAAAUUCUUACGGGUGAAAAUUUAGCCAUAAAUAUCAACACUGCCAAUAUCUUGUUCUAUACGAUUAUGGAUAAACAGAAAGCUGGAAGUAGAUUAAAAAACCCAAAACAUCGUGCAGAUUUUUAUUUUUUUCUGUAACAAGGCAUACAGACAGAUAUAUUUAGUUGAUAAAACCAGUUUGUUAAUUACCUUAGUCUCCAAGUUUGAGUAAGCCCAGUUGGGUGAAAAAUUAAUCAUGCUAAACAACUAGUCUUGGGAGAGAGGGACUGAAUGCAUCCAAAUCCCAACAAUUAAAAGAUGGUACCAAGUAAAUGACCGAGGCAAUAAAUACCAGUUAUAGAAGGACCAAAGUUUAUCCCAACAAUUAUAAGGUCAAUAGCAGCAAGCAAUAACACCAUGAACCAUGC